GCAUAUAUAUUCUUUGGUUGAUCUCUUCCUCUCCUCCUUACCCUCCUCCCCUCUGAGAUCUGUCAUUAUGUUCCAUUUAUCCAUGCUUCUGGUCCUAUUUCGUUCAUCAGUUUAUUUUGUUCUUUAGAUUCCAUAUAUAAGUGAGAUCACGUGAUAUUUGUCUUUCUCUGACCAUCUUAUUUUGUUCAGCUUAGAAGUCUCCAGGUCCCUCAAUGCUGUCUCAAAGGGUAAACCUACUGGUACCAUCAGUCAUCAGGCUGGUAUGCGACUGUCUUUAUAGAUCAAACAACAAACAGAAUUAUUUUAUUUUAAAUUACAAAGCUUAGAGUCUUCCCAAGGACAUUGAAUUAACUUUUCAAAAAGAAAAUAUUAGUAAAAACUUACUUUAAUUGUAUACAAUAAUUGUCCUCAGAAUUAAGGCAAGAGGCACACUCUCCGCACUGUGGUAGAAAGAGUGUGAUCACUUUAUCACCUAUGAGAACAAAAUCAUUUAAUGUUAUCUUUUAAAGUAAAGAGAUAGCUGUUUCUCAAGACCUAAACAGCAAGGCACCCAAGAAAAUAUGAGUACUGAGAGCAACUUCCACAUUUAACUGUGUUAAUACUAUGGAGAAUGUGAAAUACUUACUAAGAGUCCCCUGGACUCAGCGGCUGAAUCCCAAGGAGCUGGCCCCAGAUUUGCCUUCUUUGUAAGUUCCAUUUGAAGUUUCAAAUGAUUUUAUCAUGUAGCCAUUAAGCCACAUCUUAUCUUUCAUUCUCCACACUAACUUCUGCUGUUGGGAGUUGUAUUUAAAGUAGCAUGGAUACCACAUGCUCACAAUAUGAGCUUCUGGAUUAGGGAGAAAGGAUUGCCUAUAUGCUGUUCUGUGUACUUCACAUCAGUUCUUUCUCCUUGGCUGUGGAGACCAAAGGUAGGUAGAUUUUUCUAGGAUUGUUCAAUGUAUAAGGAGAAGAUCAGAAUAACUUGCCUGUGAUGGACUUUCUGACUGCCCCAUUGUCUACCACUGUAAACGAGCAAUUUAUUUCAUAUUUUUAGUUAAAAAACCUUUGUAGGAUGACAGUUCUUUUGUUUUAAUUAUUUUUAGUUUUUAAAAAGUUACAGACAUAUGGUAAGAACUUAAAUGCAUAAAUGUGAAGAUUAGCUCCCUAGUUUCCAGUUCCCCUUUCUCCACCCUGGAGAUAAUUACUCUUCUCAGUGUCCAUGGUAUUUUCAGAGAUAUAACUCCUUUAAAAAUACAAAGAGUAGCAUACUAUUUACCUUUGGUUUUUUACUUGCAGAUUUCUUAUUUUAGUACAUAUAGCACUCUAUCAUUUUGUUUAAUAGUUAUGUAGUAUUAUGUUGUUAGAUAUGUCAUAAUUUAUUUAACCAGUCCCCUGGACAUUGAUAGACAUUUAAGUUAUUUCCUGCCUUUAAAACUUUGUGUUGUUUUAUUUUUUCCUGAGAUGAGAAAUAACAGUGCAAUGAAUAUUUUGUGCACAUGUGGGUUAUGGUAGGCAGGAUUUCUAAAAUGGCCCCCAAAGACAUCCCGUCCUAAUCCCCAGAAACUGAAUUUGUUGUUACCAUGCCAGUGAGUAUGUUACAUGGAAAAGGGGCCUUUGAAGAUAAAAUUAAGGUUACUAAUCAAUUGACAUUAAAAUAGGGAGUAUCCUGGAUUAUUUAAGCAGAAUCAAUGUAAUCACAUGAGUCCUUGAAAGGAGACCAGAGGAAAGCAGAAGAGAAAGACAAAGCAAUUCCAAGCAUGGGAAGGAUUUGAUGUGCUAUUGUUGCUUUGAGGCUGUAAGGGGGUGGAGGGACCUCACAGGAAGGAAUGUGAGCAGCUUCAGGGAGCUGAGGGCAGCCCCAGCUGAGAGCUGGUCAGUCCUACAACCUCAAGUAAUUGGAUUCUCCAGAGUGUCCAGAUAAGAACCCAGCUGGCCAACGCUUUGAUUUUGAUCUUGUGAGACCCUAAGCAGACUUCUGACCUACAGUAAUAGAGAUAAUAAAUUUAUUUUGUUUUAAGCUGCUAA